rnacentral:RNase_P_RNA from 1 species
UUUGUGGGCCAGAACACCGCUGCGGCACCGUCGCAGAGGAAAGUCCGGACUCCAGACAAAUUCUGCCGGUCGAGGCCGUGCGGAGCGGGCAGUGAGCCAGGUAACGCCUGGGCGGGGCAACCCGACGGAAAGUGCCACAGAGAACAGACCGCCGAUGGCCCGCAAGGGCACAGGCAAGGGUGAAACGGUGGGGUAAAAGCCCACCGCCGCGCUGGCAACAGGGCGGGCACGGCAAACCCCUCACGGAGCAAAACCAAAUAGGCCGACGUACUCCAGGAGGAGCGAGGAUUGGCCCGAUCGAGUCGGCGGGUAGGUUGCUUGAGGUUCGCAGCGAUGCGGAUCCCAGAGGAAUGGUGUUCCCGAUCUUGCGAUCGGACAGAAUCCGGCUUACCGGUCCACCCACGGC